UAGAGUUUGAUCAUGGCUCAGAUUGAACGCUGGCGGCAGGCCUAACACAUGCAAGUCGAGCGGCAGCGGGAAGUAGCUUGCUACUUUGCCGGCGAGCGGCGGACGGGUGAGUAAUGUCUGGGAAACUGCCUGAUGGAGGGGGAUAACUACUGGAAACGGUAGCUAAUACCGCAUGACGUCGCAAGACCAAAGUGGGGGACCUUCGGGCCUCACGCCAUCGGAUGUGCCCAGAUGGGAUUAGCUAGUAGGUGAGGUAAUGGCUCACCUAGGCGACGAUCCCUAGCUGGUCUGAGAGGAUAACCAGCCACACUGGAACUGAGACACGGUCCAGACUCCUACGGGAGGCAGCAGUGGGGAAUAUUGCACAAUGGGCGCAAGCCUGAUGCAGCCAUGCCGCGUGUGUGAAGAAGGCCUUAGGGUUGUAAAGCACUUUCAGCGAGGAGGAAGGCGUUGUAGUUAAUAGCUGCAACGAUUGACGUUACUCGCAGAAGAAGCACCGGCUAACUCCGUGCCAGCAGCCGCGGUAAUACGGAGGGUGCAAGCGUUAAUCGGAAUUACUGGGCGUAAAGCGCACGCAGGCGGUUUGUUAAGUCAGAUGUGAAAUCCCCGAGCUUAACUUGGGAACUGCAUUUGAAACUGGCAAGCUAGAGUCUUGUAGAGGGGGGUAGAAUUCCAGGUAUAGCGGUGAAAUGCGUAGAGAUCUGGAGGAAUACCGGUGGCGAAGGCGGCCCCCUGGACAAAGAC
rnacentral:rRNA from 1 species